GAGCCCAAGAUUGAAAGCUGGCGUCUUCGGCGUCCGCAUUGUAAUCUCAAGAAGUGUUUUCCGCUUCGGACCAAGCCUAAGUCCCCUGGAAAGGGGCAUCAUAGAGGGUGAUAAUCCCGUACAUGGCUUGGAGCGCCCGAGGCUUUGUGAUACGCUUUCUAAGAGUCGAGUUGUUUGGGAAUGCAGCUCAAAAUGGGUGGUAAAUGCCAUCUAAGGCUAAAUAUUGGGGAGAGACCGAUAGCGAACAAGUACAGUGAUGGAAAGAUGAAAAGAACUUUGAAAAGAGAGUUAAACAGUACGUGAAAUUGCCAAAAGGGAAGGGUAGGAGGUCAGAGAUGCGGCCUGGGAUUCAGCCUUGCUUUUGCUUGGUGUUUUUCCCAGAUUGCAGGCCAACGUCGGUUUUGGGCACUGGAGAAGGGUAGGAGGAACGUGGCACCCCUCGGGGUGUGUUAUAGCCUCCUACUGGAUACAGCGACCGAGACCGAGGACAGCAGCGUACUCGCAAGAGCGGGCCUUCGGGCACCUUUACGCUUAGGGCGUUGGCAUAAUGGCCCUCUACCAC
rnacentral:rRNA from 1 species